rnacentral:piRNA from 1 species
UAAGACAUUUGUAGCCUGGUGU